rnacentral:rRNA from 1 species
GAUGAACGCUGGCGGCGUGCCUAAUACAUGCAAGUCGAGCGAACGGACGAGAAGCUUGCUUCUCUGAUGUUAGCGGCGGACGGGUAAGUAACACGUGGAUAACCUACCUAUAAGACUGGGAUAACUUCGGGAAACCGUAGCUAAUACCGGAUAAUAUUUUGAACCGCAUGGUUCAAAAGUGAAAGACGGUCUUGCUGUCACUUAUAGAUGGAUCCGCGCUGCAUUAGCUAGUUGGUAAGGUAACGGCUUACCAAGGCAACGAUGCAUAGCCGACCUGAGAGGGUGAUCGGCCACACUGGAACUGAGACACGGUCCAGACUCCUACGGGAGGCAGCAGUAGGGAAUCUUCCGCAAUGGGCGAAAGCCUGACGGAGCAACGCCGCGUGAGUGAUGAAGGUCUUCGGAUCGUAAAACUCUGUUAUUAUGGAAGAACAUAUGUGUAAGUAACUGUGCACAUCUUGACGGUACCUAAUCAGAAAGCCACGGCUAACUACGUG